GUUAAAGAGCUCAUUGAUUUUAGAUGGCUUCUCACAGUGGAAACUCCCCUUGAUCUCGGAACUCGUCUUACUUGCCGGGAUAGCAGAACUGUUUCCAGACUUCAAGAAAAGGAGCAUACCAACCUAGAGAGAGCAUAUCUCUUUCAGCUUGGUCUCCACUGCCUGCAUUAUGCAACAUAUUUGUCAAACAUCUGUUAUGGCCUAAAUUCCCUGUUGACAGGUGAAGUUUGUCAAUCUUCUAUACUCUGAAGGUAUGUAUAGUGGCUGGUUAAUUCAACCAAUUUGCCUGCAAAUAUUAUGAAAUAGCGAUGUAAAAAGCUCAUCAGAUAGUGAUCAAAAGCUCAAUUCAUCACUCGUAUAUACCGUAUAGUUGAGUGUAUCUUUCCAGGAUUGAAUUCUCAUCGGAGGUCUUAAGUGGCAAUUUAUGCAUGCAGCCAUGCAGGGGCCAAUAUUAUCGUCCUCUUUCCUUUUGUUAUUCUUUGGGCCAUUAUCCCAGAAAUAAGCAUUUGAUGAGUUAAUUUUGGUGUACUGAAUUAAAUUAGAGUGAACUUUUGGGCCAAAUCAGGCUCCAAUUUCAAAUGUGGGUGCUCUUAUUGGGCCUCAAGAGAUUGGAUAAAGCCUGCCCACCUGACACCUAAGUAUCAAGUCAAAUGACCUAAACAAUACAUUGCAAACAAUCUAACAUCUGUUCUCUGGACUCUAGUACUUUUAUUUGUUUAUUUUUUUUUGUCUUCAUAUUAUACCCUUUUUGCCUUUAUAUUGUCAGAUUCAGAAUUCGAAAUCUGAACAUCAUAAUUAAAAGAAUGCUAAGAGCCUUUUUUGACAAACUUUUAUUUAUUUAUUUAUUUACAUCUUCUCAUUCUUGUUCAUACCUUUUUCUCGCCUUUAUAUUAUAUCCUUUUCUCCUCCAUAUCGAGAGACUCAAAAUUCGAAAUCUGAAACUCAUAAUUGAAAGGACGUCAAGAGCCUUUUUUGACAAUUAAACGAACCCUAAUGGUUUUAGUACCCAUUUAAAAUAGUUUGUCAAUUUGUUGUUGUAGAGAGCUACAAUGACUUUAUGAAGGUGAAGUAAGCAUUAAGUUUGACGGUGAUGAAUUUUACCUUUUCUUUUUCCCUUUCUUUUUGGUAGUAUGAUAUUAACUCAACAUUAUAAGAUUUUCAUGGGGGGCAUAAAGAUUAAAGAGUCAUGAAAUCUGUGAUUUCAUUUUCCAAGUGUGAAUAUUAGGUGGAUGGACAAAUCAACCUUCUUUUUUCCAUUCUUGGGGGCAGAAUUUCUUCUGCCACAGAUGUUGCCUAUCCAUAUCACGAUAAUGUACUCUUCUUGAGCGAGUAAAUUAAUUUGGUCCCCAAAUGAAAAUUUAGUUGGCCCAUCUCACCGACCACCACGUUUCCUUAACAACAAAGAAAAGGAAAUAUACAAAUGGAAAAUCUGAAUCUAAACCUCCCCAGAUAACAACACUCAAGUAUGUGAACUCCUCACCGGCCAGUUGAAAUCUGAUCCAGAAAAAAAAAAACCCACGAGGAAAAAGAUUAAAUGAAUUUAGUUAUUGGAAACCACCUUAGAAAAUGAAAUUAAAGAAAUGCUUAGGCUCAAUGUAUCUGCCAAAAUGAAGCAAUAAAUGGUCAUGUCAGAAGAUGGAUAGCCAAUGCAUUUGAAUCAUUCAUGCAUCCAUCUUCCAACUUUGCUUAAAACUGUGAACAAAGGGGUGGCUAGAGCUGUUAAACCAAUCAAGUAGCUCGAAAUCUCGUUAGAGCUCGGCUCGUUAAGGUUUAACGAGUCGAGCUCGAGCUCGAAACAUGCUCGUUUAGUUAACGAGCCGAGUAAGCUCGGCUCGUUUGAUACUCGAGUAGCUCGUUAGAGCUCGUUAAUGAAGGGCAUAUUUGUCAUUUUAGAAAUCAAAAUUAUAUAAAUUAAAAAUUAUAGAUUUUUAUUAAUGUUUAUUUGCACGAGCUCGAGCUCGAGCUCGUGAAGCUCGAUUCGUUUGUGAUAAACGAGUCGAGCUCGAGAACUCGAACCACAUGUACAUUUAACGAGCCGAGUUCGAACACAUUUUAAAGUUCGUUUUCUUAACGAGCUCGAGUCGAGCUCGGCUCGAAUUAAACUCGAGUCGAGCUCGGCAGCCAAAUACUCGGCUCGAUUAACAGCUCUAGGGGUGGCAAACAACAUCAUAUCCAUGUGGUGGAGGGCCAUAUCUGUGAAUUGACCCUUCCAAACAGGCGUUAGAGCACAAUUGGUCAGAGAGGAGAAACUUGAAGGUGCUUAUGGCUAUGAGUUACAUCUGUAAAGUAAUAUCAACAUUAAUCGUCCAUUUGUAUCAAUAAUGGAUCAAUUGAAAAAAAUAACGCAAGUUGCAUCCUGUAUAGUUUGUUUGGGGAUGGGGUCUAUGUCAAUGAAUUGGAUGAAAGGAGAAGAAACUUCAAACUAUGAAUUUAUAAUUAGUGAUUGAGCUUAAUACUUCAACCCAACCAUACCAAACUUCUUGGUUAUUGGAGAACCAAAUUAUUUAAUAGUCGUUAGGUGGGGAAAAAAAAAAAGAAUUGCUUAAACAAUCUAGAAUACUUCUUUUUUUGGUAAAUAUCUAGAAAAUAUCUCUUUGGCUGAAGAUCACUAGUUGUUAUCUUGACCAAGAAAUACUGGUAGACCAUUUAACUUUCAAAAUGUUGAUUAUUGAUCACUAAGAUAUGUUUCAACCGCUUAAUCAUGAUUUGAUAGAGUUUUAAUUUCCCACUAUCCCUUGUCAAUCAGCAAAAUUGUGUUUGAUGACACGACUAAUUACCCUUCCAUAUAUAUAUAUAUAUAUCCUCCUUAAUGGUCCCAAAAAAUUAAACAGCUCUGAUAUCCCCCCAAAAAAAAAGACAGAGUUAAAAUCCAAAUUCACCUAAUUCAACGCAUUGAAAAUUUGUGGAAAUGAAUUUAAACCUCCUUUUUCUAUCAAUUUUUUUUUCAACGCCCGUUAAUCACGCUCCUAACACCAUCCAAUAAUUAAGAUUUCUAGCCGAUUACUACUAAAUCAUCGCCUAUAGGCUAUAAACAGCCUCCAGUCAACAAACAAACAAUCACCACCACUCAGAUCAGAUAUUUUUCAUAAGUUGUCCUAUUGUCAGUUUUACACCACUAAGAUCAUCAUGGCUGGAGAGAAGCACCGCCACCACCUCGUCCACCACCACAAGGAAGAGAAGCCUGUCGAGAGAAGCACCACUAAGACCAUCAUGGCUGAAGAGAAGCGCCACCACUACCACCACAAGGAAGAGAAGCACCACCACCACCUCGUCCACCACCACAAGGAAGAGAGAAGCACCACUAAGACCAUCAUGGUUGAAGAGAGAAGCACCACUAAGACCAUCAUGGUUGAAGAGAAGCACCACCACCACCUCGUCCACCACCACAAGGAAGAGAAGCACCACCACCACCUUGUCCACCACCACAAGGAAGAGAAGAAGCACCAGCACCACCUCGUCCAGCACCAGCACCAGCACCAGCACCACCUCGUCCAGCACCACCACCACCACCACCACCACCACCACAAGGAAGAGAAGCACCACCACCACAAGCCUGUCGAGAGAAGCACCACUAAGACCAUCAUGGCUGAAGAGAAGCACCGCCACCACCUCGUCCACCACCACAAGGAAGAGAAGCACCGCCACCACAAGCCAUAAUAAAAGGCAUAAUAGUCUCUUGUAUACUGUUUGUUCUGGCUUGAUGGUGCUGAUUUGAGUUAAAAAAGAUAAUGACUAUGUUGAUGAUGACACAUUUUCUGCCUUGGGAACCAAUUAUAAUAUAGGAUCCGAAUAGUUGCUUUUAUCUUUAUAAUUUAUGUUUCACAUGGAAAGAUAUUCAAUUCUCAUCUUUGAUACAUGUCACUACUUUGUUGCAAUUCAGUCAAGUUUAUUCAUACUUGAACAAGGCGGUGUCCUGAAAAUAUGACAUCUAUUAGUUAUACAAUGUUUAUUGUUGCUUGACUAACUUGCAGUCUUGGGUGGUUAACUUGUGCAUUGAUCCAGCUUGAGUUAAGUACUUGGUUACUCAGCGUUUGCUCUGACAUAUAUUCUUCAGUAAAUGCGGCAGGCUGAAUUGUUUACAAAUUACCGGUUCAAUUGUUGCUGUGUAAGCGAUGUACUGCAACUCCUGCAACUUAUAUUGAUCGUGCUUUGCUGGUAUCGUCCCCUGUACUUGCUUGUCCUUGGUUUUCUAUUCUGUUAAACCUACAACUCCAAUUUUAAGUUCCUUUAUCCUGUGUGUUUCUCUUCUUUGCUGCUCAGUACUCCAGAACUAUGACCGUAUCCAUUAACCGUCCCUCCUCAUAAAUUACUACUAGCAGUGAAAAUCACUGGAGUCAUUUCUUGCUGCACUCUUGAAAAGCACUGUCAUGUACAAUUCCAUUGUACUUUACCUGACUUGCUGCCUUAACCAUCUGACAUUAGCAUGUUUCCGCUCAAAGUAUAGACCAAAAGAAAGGAAUUCUGAAAUCUUCUAUGGUUCAAUUGUCAUGAAUGUGAGUUUUCAUGAACAGACAACGUGGCUUUAACUGCUUAUUUGCUUUUGCCUUUUUGUGUAGGAAACUUUUGUUUCUGGUGUUGAUGGUCUCAACUUAACUUCCAAUGAAGACUCGUACAAAUCCAAGGCAACUACGAAAUUCAUGGAUUCAAUUGAUGGUGCUAUUGAUGAGUAUUUGACCUUUAACAAUCCCGAGUCAUGCUGUGAGAAGCUUGAGGAUUUGCUUACACAUGGGCACCUUCAGGGGCCACUGAGACCAAAGCCAGAAAAGUCACCUCAAUGCAUAAGGUUACACUUGUUUCAUCAUCAAUCUCUACAUGCAUACACCACACUUGCUUCAGCAUACAGAGUCCGUGCUAGUGACCUCUUGGCUCUUAAUUCUGAAAAUCAUCAGCAUCAUAUGGAAGCUUUCACUCUGAGCAGAAUAAGUGCAGCCUACUCCUUGUUGUUGGCUAUAGUUACGCAUCAUCUUUUUCUUUCUGAAUCUUCAAUAAUUGUCUGUGUUGCGAAUUUCUGGAAAAAUGCCGGGGAGUCCCUAGUUUAUCUCUUUAGAAGCUCAGCCUGGGUUACAUUUUCCAGUUUGCACCAAUCUGUUUCUGAAAAUUCAUCCAUUCUAAGCCAUAAAUGCUGAAGAUCAAUUCUUUUAUUAAUACUGAAGAUCAAUAUGCAAUGUUUGGGGACAUAAGCAGGCAGCACAUAAAUUGUAUUGUCAACAUAACAGAAAAAGUAUGGAGCUUCCUUAGUCAUGAAAGUCGACAUCUGCAAGAAGUUAAAGAGCUCAUUGAUUUUUGAUGGCUUCUCACAGUGGAAACUCCCCUUGAUCUCGGAACUCGUAUUACUUGCCGGGAUAGCAGAACUGUUUCCAGACUUCAAAAAAAGGAGCAUGCCAACCUAGAGAGAGCAUAUCUCUUUCAGCUUGGUCUCCACUGCUUACACUAUGCAACAUACCUGUCAAGCAUCUGUUAUGGCCUAAAUUCCCUGUUGAUAGGUGAAGUUUGUCAAUCUUCUAUACUCUGAAGGUAUGUAUAGUGGCUGGUUAGUUCAACCAAUUUGGCUGAAAAUAUUAUCAAAAAAUAGCGAUGUGAAAAGGUCAUCAAAUAGAUGGUGAUCAAAAAGCUCAGUUCAUCACUCGUAUAUACCGUAUAGUUGAGUGUAUCUUUCCAGGAUUGAAUUCUCAUAGAUGGUGAUCAAAAAGCUCAAUUCAUCACUCGUAAUGCAUGCAAGCAGGAGCCCAAUAUUUCGUCCUCUUUCCAUUUGUUUUUUUUGGGCCACAGUCCUAGAAAUAAGCAUUUCAUGAGUUAAUUUUGGUCUACUGAAUUGAAUAAGAGUGAACUUUUGGGCCAAAUCAGGCUCCAAUUUCAAAUGUGGGUGCUGUUAUUGGGCCUCAAGAGAUUGGAUAAAGCCUGCCCACCUGACACCUAAGUAUCAAGGUCAAAUGACCUCAAACAAUCUAAUAUCCGUUCGCCAGUACUUUUAUUUGUUUAUUUUUUCUUGCCUUCAUAUUACACCCUUCUCGCCUUUAUAUUGUCUGAUUCAGAAUUCAAAAUCUGAAUCUCAUAAUUGAAAGGACGCUAAGAG
rnacentral:lncRNA from 1 species